GGCCUGAUAGCACAACAGCUAGUGUCUCUGCUAUAAGUUGCAAUUGCCCGUCUAAUAUGUAUGCAGAAGAUCCCCGUUCGACUCGGGGUCAGGCCA